GGGUUGUGAGGUUAAGCGACUAAGCGUACACGGUGGAUGCCCUGGCAGUCAGAGGCGAUGAAGGACGUGCUAAUCUGCGAUAAGCGUCGGUAAGGUGAUAUGAACCGUUAUAACCGGCGAUUUCCGAAUGGGGAAACCCAGUGUGUUUCGACACACUAUCAUUAACUGAAUCCAUAGGUUAAUGAGGCGAACCGGGGGAACUGAAACAUCUAAGUACCCCGAGGAAAAGAAAUCAACCGAGAUUCCCCCAGUAGCGGCGAGCGAACGGGGAGCAGCCCAGAGCCUGAAUCAGUGUGUGUGUUAGUGGAAGCGUCUGGAAAGGCGCGCGAUACAGGGUGACAGCCCCGUACACAAAAAUGCACAUGCUGUGAGCUCGAUGAGUAGGGCGGGACACGUGGUAUCCUGUCUGAAUAUGGGGGGACCAUCCUCCAAGGCUAAAUACUCCUGACUGACCGAUAGUGAACCAGUACCGUGAGGGAAAGGCGAAAAGAACCCCGGCGAGGGGAGUGAAAAAGAACCUGAAACCGUGUACGUACAAGCAGUGGGAGCACGCUUAGGCGUGUGACUGCGUACCUUUUGUAUAAUGGGUCAGCGACUUAUAUUCUGUAGCAAGGUUAACCGAAUAGGGGAGCCGAAGGGAAACCGAGUCUUAACUGGGCGUUAAGUUGCAGGGUAUAGACCCGAAACCCGGUGAUCUAGCCAUGGGCAGGUUGAAGGUUGGGUAACACUAACUGGAGGACCGAACCGACUAAUGUUGAAAAAUUAGCGGAUGACUUGUGGCUGGGGGUGAAAGGCCAAUCAAACCGGGAGAUAGCUGGUUCUCCCCGAAAGCUAUUUAGGUAGCGCCUCGUGAAUUCAUCUCCGGGGGUAGAGCACUGUUUCGGCAAGGGGGUCAUCCCGACUUACCAACCCGAUGCAAACUGCGAAUACCGGAGAAUGUUAUCACGGGAGACACACGGCGGGUGCUAACGUCCGUCGUGAAGAGGGAAACAACCCAGACCGCCAGCUAAGGUCCCAAAGUCAUGGUUAAGUGGGAAACGAUGUGGGAAGGCCCAGACAGCCAGGAUGUUGGCUUAGAAGCAGCCAUCAUUUAAAGAAAGCGUAAUAGCUCACUGGUCGAGUCGGCCUGCGCGGAAGAUGUAACGGGGCUAAACCAUGCACCGAAGCUGCGGCAGCGACGCUGAUGCGUUGUUGGGUAGGGGAGCGUUCUGUAAGCCUGCGAAGGUGUGCUGUGAGGCAUGCUGGAGGUAUCAGAAGUGCGAAUGCUGACAUAAGUAACGAUAAAGCGGGUGAAAAGCCCGCUCGCCGGAAGACCAAGGGUUCCUGUCCAACGUUAAUCGGGGCAGGGUGAGUCGACCCCUAAGGCGAGGCCGAAAGGCGUAGUCGAUGGGAAACAGGUUAAUAUUCCUGUACUUGGUGUUACUGCGAAGGGGGGACGGAGAAGGCUAUGUUGGCCGGGCGACGGUUGUCCCGGUUUAAGCGUGUAGGCUGGUUUUCCAGGCAAAUCCGGAAAAUCAAGGCUGAGGCGUGAUGACGAGGCACUACGGUGCUGAAGCAACAAAUGCCCUGCUUCCAGGAAAAGCCUCUAAGCAUCAGGUAACAUCAAAUCGUACCCCAAACCGACACAGGUGGUCAGGUAGAGAAUACCAAGGCGCUUGAGAGAACUCGGGUGAAGGAACUAGGCAAAAUGGUGCCGUAACUUCGGGAGAAGGCACGCUGAUAUGUAGGUGAAGUCCCUCGCGGAUGGAGCUGAAAUCAGUCGAAGAUACCAGCUGGCUGCAACUGUUUAUUAAAAACACAGCACUGUGCAAACACGAAAGUGGACGUAUACGGUGUGACGCCUGCCCGGUGCCGGAAGGUUAAUUGAUGGGGUUAGCGCAAGCGAAGCUCUUGAUCGAAGCCCCGGUAAACGGCGGCCGUAACUAUAACGGUCCUAAGGUAGCGAAAUUCCUUGUCGGGUAAGUUCCGACCUGCACGAAUGGCGUAAUGAUGGCCAGGCUGUCUCCACCCGAGACUCAGUGAAAUUGAACUCGCUGUGAAGAUGCAGUGUACCCGCGGCAAGACGGAAAGACCCCGUGAACCUUUACUAUAGCUUGACACUGAACAUUGAGCCUUGAUGUGUAGGAUAGGUGGGAGGCUUAGAAGUGUGGACGCCAGUCUGCAUGGAGCCGACCUUGAAAUACCACCCUUUAAUGUUUGAUGUUCUAACGUUGACCCGUAAUCCGGGUUGCGGACAGUGUCUGGUGGGUAGUUUGACUGGGGCGGUCUCCUCCUAAAGAGUAACGGAGGAGCACGAAGGUUGGCUAAUCCUGGUCGGACAUCAGGAGGUUAGUGCAAUGGCAUAAGCCAGCUUGACUGCGAGCGUGACGGCGCGAGCAGGUGCGAAAGCAGGUCAUAGUGAUCCGGUGGUUCUGAAUGGAAGGGCCAUCGCUCAACGGAUAAAAGGUACUCCGGGGAUAACAGGCUGAUACCGCCCAAGAGUUCAUAUCGACGGCGGUGUUUGGCACCUCGAUGUCGGCUCAUCACAUCCUGGGGCUGAAGUAGGUCCCAAGGGUAUGGCUGUUCGCCAUUUAAAGUGGUACGCGAGCUGGGUUUAGAACGUCGUGAGACAGUUCGGUCCCUAUCUGCCGUGGGCGCUGGAGAACUGAGGGGGGCUGCUCCUAGUACGAGAGGACCGGAGUGGACGCAUCACUGGUGUUCGGGUUGUCAUGCCAAUGGCACUGCCCGGUAGCUAAAUGCGGAAGAGAUAAGUGCUGAAAGCAUCUAAGCACGAAACUUGCCCCGAGAUGAGUUCUCCCUGAC
rnacentral:rRNA from 1 species